AUACGGAGGGUGCGAGCGUUGUCCGGAAUCACUGGGCGUAAAGGGCGCGUAGGCGGUGACUUAAGCGUGUGGUGAAAGCCCGGGGCUCAACCCCGGGUCGGCCGUGCGAACUGGGUCACUCGAGCACUGUAGAGGCAGGUGGAAUUCCGGGUGUAGCGGUGGAAUGCGUAGAGAUCCGGAAGAACACCAGUGGCGAAGGCGGCCUGCUGGGCAGUAGCUGACGCUGAGGCGCGACAGCGUGGGGAGC
rnacentral:rRNA from 1 species